AUUGAACGCUGGCGGCAGGCUUAACACAUGCAAGUCGAGCGGAGCGGCGGACGGGUGAGUCAUGCCUAGGAAUCUGCCUGGUAGUGGGGGAUAACGUCCGGAAACGGGCGCUUAUACUGCAUACUAUCAGCUGCGCCUAGGUCGGAUUAGCUAGUGGGUGGGGUAAAGGCCUACCAGGGCGACGAUCCGUAAGUGGUCUGAGAGGAUGAUCAGUCACACUGGAACUGAGACACGGUCCAGACGCCUACGAGAGGCAGCGGUGGGGAAUGUUGGACAAUGGGCGAAAGCCUGAUCCAGCCAUGCCGCGUGUGUGAAGAAGGUCUUCGGGUUGUAAAGCACUUUAAGUUGGGAGGCGUUACCAACAGAAUAAGCACCGGCUAACUUCGUGCCAGCCGCCGCGGUAAUUC
rnacentral:rRNA from 1 species